AGUGAACGCUGGCGGUAGGCCUAACACAUGCAAGUCGAACGGCAGCACAGUAAGAGCUUGCUCUUACGGGUGGCGAGUGGCGGACGGGUGAGGAAUACAUCGGAAUCUACUUUUUCGUGGGGGAUAACGUAGGGAAACUUACGCUAAUACCGCAUACGACCUACGGGUGAAAGCAGGGGAUCUUCGGACCUUGCGCGAUUGAAUGAGCCGAUGUCGGAUUAGCUAGUUGGCGGGGUAAAGGCCCACCAAGGCGACGAUCCGUAGCUGGUCUGAGAGGAUGAUCAGCCACACUGGAACUGAGACACGGUCCAGACUCCUACGGGAGGCAGCAGUGGGGAAUAUUGGACAAAGGGCGCAAGCCUGAUGCAGCCAUACCGCGUGGGUGAAGAAGGCCUUCGGGUUGUAAAGCCCUUUUGUUGGGAAAGAAAAGCAGCAGGUUAAUACCCCGCUGUCCUGACGGUACCCAAAGAAUAAGCACCGGCUAACUUCGUG
rnacentral:rRNA from 1 species